AUAGAUUAGCUGGACUCCUUUGGGAAGGAACUCUCACAGUGACUGCCCUGCCACUAGCAUUCAACCAAUGUUCCCAGACUUGAUAUUAAGAAGAGGUGAAGAGAGAAUUGAGCCUGCAGAGUGAGACCAUAGGGAAGAGUGGAAUGGUCAAAAAGAAAGUCUAGAUGGAUGGGAAAGGAAGGGGAAGGGGCCAACAGAGCAAAGGCGGUGUUCAGGUGACACCUCUAUCUUUCUUUCAUUGUAGGCGGAGAGAAGUCUUUGGCCUAUCAUGAAUGGAAAAUGGCCCUCUUCAAGCCUGCAGAUGUGAUUCUGGAUCCAGACACGGCAAACGCCAUCCUCCUUGUUUCUGAGGACCAGAGAAGUGUGCAGCGUGCUGAAGAGCCACGGGAUCUGCCAGACAACCCUGAGAGAUUUGAAUGGCGUUACUGUGUCCUUGGCUGUGAAAACUUCACAUCAGGGAGACAUUACUGGGAGGUGGAAGUGGGGGACAGAAAAGAGUGGCAUAUUGGGGUAUGUAGUAAGAACGUGGAGAGGAAAAA
rnacentral:sRNA from 1 species